CUCCCUGGUGGGAGGUGGCAUGUCCAAAAGAGGAGGAGUCUCAGGAGAAAGAUGAAUGACUUGCCACUGGACAUUGGUUCAGGAACCUGUUCUAGUUCAACCUCCAAAAGUACAAGUGGGACGAAAUGCUUGUGACCGCAUGACUGGCAUGUAUCUGUGAUUACUAGCAAGUGUCCAUUCAGAGAUUUUGGAUAAUGUUUCCUCAUUUAGGAAAUUCUCUGGAAGAUGCUUGUGAUCAAAAGCUCCACAAAACAAAGAGACAGAAGGACAGAAUUAAUGGACAGAAGAGAAGCAGGAAAAGUGGAAGCUGAGGAGGAACACGUGGACAGGCAAUCUGACUGGUCUGUUAGGAUGGAGAAGUUGCUCUCAGAUUCGCUGACGCUGCCAGUUUGGGGAACCAGACUGUACUCACGAACAGGACAGGCAAACUCAGUGAAGUUAGGCUGGAAGCAAAUGUCCUUGGAGAUGGGAAGCCAGGCCUUUAAAGGUUCUUGCCUGGAUUAGGCACAAUGGGAAUGAGGAUGAAUCUCAGUCGUUCUCUACAAAGAGAUAGGGUUAGUUCAAAAUCAGAGUAUCACUUUUUUUCAGAGGAAGAAUGGAGGAGACUUUGAUUUUUUUAUAAUGUAAACUAUACCCCUUGAUUUUAGUCUUUAUUUGGGGUGUAAGUGUGGUGUUAACUUCUGUUGGCAAACCCACCUUUCCCUGUAGACCAGCAUGCAGGCCAAUAUGAAGAGUGUCAUGGUACCCACUAAUGACAGUACUGGCUUCCACACAGACAUUGAGCUGCCAGAUAUGUCUAGGCCAAAGAGAAAGGUUGACAUGACAAAGUCCUGACAGAAGUCUGAGCACAACUUUAUAACCAUAAAGCAAAGCAGAGAUUUUGUAUGUAUUUACCUGUGAAGUUAUUUCCCUUCAUGGAAUCCCAUUGAAUGGGCUGACUCCAUUCACUCCAGAACUUGGACUCGCCACACAUGUCGUUUACUCGUGCUCUCACUUGAAACUCAUAACGACUGCUCUUUAACGGAAAAGCCACAGCAUACUUCUGUUCCUUGCUUGGAGUAGAUGUCUGAAGAAAGGAACAAAGAGAGAGUGGAGGAGAGAGAGAUAGUUUUUUCAAACAUUUGUCCAGUAUUUUGUUGAAAAAUGACCAGUAGGCUACAGUGUCCAAACAGUGGUCCAACUCCUGAGUCCUGACCCAUCCCCACCUUCCACUUCUCGCUGUUUAUUCUGUAGCGAACUUCACUCUCAAUGCAGUAGGUGUUCUUGCUGUUGUUCCAGUACAGAUUCAGCUCUGGGUCUUUGUUCAUCUCAACUGACAGGUUAACAGGAGGGUAAAGCUUCACUAGAAAAAGCAUUAAGGAGGGUCAAAUGUUAACGACAUUUCAAUCAAAUGAAGAUUGAAAUAGGAAAAACACGCGUUAAAAAGCCUAAAGUAAGAUGACUAUUGUUCUUCAUGUUACAUGCUGUUCUGUAUGUAAGGUUCUGAUUUGAUUGAGAAAAAGAACCUACCCAUGCUUUUCAGGUUAUGGGUCUGCACAUAACUGUUGUUCUGAUGGACCAGCUUGGUUGUCAGUGUUCUAAACCUGUCAGACUUGUCAUAGGACAGUCUACAUCCCACAGAAUAACUCUUCUCCUGUAGAUAUGUUGUGCACUCCUCCAUAUUAUCUUUGAUGAACCUAAACACAUACCAUGUGAAAAUGAUGGAUGAGAAUUAGUACCAAAGUACGGAUAUUUAAGAUUUGACAGAGAUACACUCCCCUACGUAUGUAUUCGGACAGUGAAGCAAUUAUAAAUGUUUUGGGCUCUAUACUCCAAUAUUUUGGAUUUGAGAUGUUUCCUAUGAGGCAACAGUACAGAAUGUCAAUUUUUAUUCAAGGGUAUUUUCAAACAUAAUGUAUGUAUUUUACAGUUUAGAAAUGAAAGCAUUUUAUGUAUCUAGUCCCCCCAUUUGAAGAAGUCAUAAGUAUUUGGGCAAAUUAACUUAUGUAUUAUAGUUAGUAGUCAAAAGUGACUCAACAAACUUGUUGGAUGCAUUUGCAGUUUGUUUUGGUUGUGUUUUGAGUUAUAUUUUGCCUAAUAGCAACUGAAUGGUGAAUGAUGACUGGAGUAAUUUUCUUUCUGUGAUAAGAUGUUUGUGAACACUUCUAAAUUAAUCCUUAUAAUGCCAUGAUUAAGAAAAUAAAUCAUGAAUAGUGAUGAGUGAGAAGGUUAUAGAAGCUACAACAAAACAUACUAACCUCUCACCAUUACCAAUAACAGGGGAGGUUAGCAUUUUUUAGGGGGUAUGAUCUU